GAUGAACGCUAGCUACAGGCUUAACACAUGCAAGUCGAGGGGUAGCAGGGUAGCAAUACCGCUGACGACCGGCGCACGGGUGAGUAACACGUAUCCAACCUUCCCAUAACUCGGGGAUAGCCUUUCGAAAGAAAGAUUAAUACCCGAUAGUACUUUUUCAAGGCAUCUUGAGAAAGUUAAAGAUUUAUUGGUUAUGGAUGGGGAUGCGUUCCAUUAGAUAGUUGGUGAGGUAACGGCUCACCAAGUCUUCGAUGGAUAGGGGUUCUGAGAGGAAGGUCCUCCACAUUGGUACUGAGACACGGACCAAACUCCUACGGGAGGCAGCAGUGAGGAAUAUUGGUCAAUGGGCGAGAGCCUGAACCAGCCAAGUAGCGUGAAGGAUGAAGGUCCUAUGGAUUGUGAACUUCUUUUAUAGUAGAAUAAAGUGACCUACGUGUAGGUUUUUGUAUGUAUACUAUGAAUAAGGAUCGGCUAACUCCGUGCCAGCCGCCGCCGUAA
rnacentral:rRNA from 1 species